GUAACACUAACUGGAGGACCGAACCGACUAAUGUUGAAAAAUUAGCGGAUGACCUGUGGCUGGGGGUGAAAGGCCAAUCAAACCGGGAGAUAGCUGGUUCUCCCCGAAAGCUAUUUAGGUAGCGCCUCGUGAAUUCAUCUCCGGGGGUAGAGCACUGUUUCGGCUAGGGGGCCAUCCCGGCUUACCAACCCGAUGCAAACUGCGAAUACCGGAGAAUGUUAUCACGGGAGACACACGGCGGGUGCUAACGUCCGUCGUGAAGAGGGAAACAACCCAGACCGCCAGCUAAGGUCCCAAAGUCAUGGUUAAGUGGGAAACGAUGUGGGAAGGCCCAGACAGCCAGGAUGUUGGCUUAGAAGCAGCCAUCAUUUAAAGAAAGCGUAAUAGCUCACUGGUCGAGUCGGCCUGCGCGGAAGAUGUAACGGGGCUAAACCAUGCACCGAAGCUGCGGCAGCGAACGUAUCACCCAAGACAACUUUACGGAGUUGACGAUUGACGGAGCGAAGCGACGUCAAAGCGUUCAUUAAAGUCGAGUUGGCUUAGGGAUACGUUCGUUGGGUAGGGGAGCGUUCUGUAAGCCUGUGAAGGUGUGUCGUGAGGCAUGCUGGAGGUAUCAGAAGUGCGAAUGCUGACAUAAGUAACGAUAAAGCGGGUGAAAAGCCCGCUCGCCGGAAGACCAAGGGUUCCUGUCCAACGUUAAUCGGGGCAGGGUGAGUCGACCCCUAAGGCGAGGCCGAAAGGCGUAGUCGAUGGGAAACGGGUUAAUAUUCCCGUACUUGGUGUUACUGCGAAGGGGGGACGGAGAAGGCUAUGUUGGCCGGGCGACGGUUGUCCCGGUUUAAGCGUGUAGGUGUGUGUUCCAGGUAAAUCCGGUUCACUUUAACACUGAGGCGUGACGACGAGGCACUACGGUGCUGAAGCAACAAAUGCCCUGCUUCCAGGAAAAGCCUCUAAGCAUCAGGUAACAC
rnacentral:rRNA from 1 species